rnacentral:rRNA from 1 species
GUGUCAGCAGCCGCGGUAAUACGGAGGGUGCAAGCGUUGUCCGGAUUUAUUGGGUUUAAAGGGUGCGCAGGUGGUUUAUUAAGUCAGUGGUGAAAGACGGUCGCUCAACGAUUGCAGUGCCAUUGAAACUGGUAGACUUGAGUAAAGUAGAGGUGGGCGGAAUUGAUAGUGUAGCGGUGAAAUGCAUAGAUAUUAUCAAGAACUCCAAUUGCGUAGGCAGCUCACUUGGCUUUUACUGACACUCAUGCACGAAAGUGUGGGUAUCAAACAGGAUUAGAAACCCCAGUAGUCC